rnacentral:rRNA from 1 species
UACGUAGGGGGCGAGCGUUGUCCGGAAUCAUUGGGCGUAAAGCGCGUGUAGGCGGCCCGGUAAGUCCGCUGUGAAAGUCCAGGGCUCAACCCUGGGAUGCCGGUGGAUACUGUCGGGCUCGAGUCCGGAAGAGGCGAGUGGAAUUCCUGGUGUAGCGGUGAAAUGCGCAGAUAUCAGGAGGAACACCAAUUGCGAAGGCAGCUCGCUGGGACGUAACUGACGCUGAGACGCGAAAGCGUGGGGAGCAAACAGG